rnacentral:rRNA from 1 species
AUACGGAGGGGGUUAGCGUUGUUCGGAAUUACUGGGCGUAAAGCGCACGUAGGCGGAUUGGAAAGUUGGGGGUGAAAUCCCAGGGCUCAACCCUGGAACUGCCUCCAAAACUAACAGUCUAGAGUUCGAGAGAGGUGAGUGGAAUUCCAAGUGUAGAGGUGAAAUUCGUAGAUAUUUGGAGGAACACCAGUGGCGAAGGCGGCUCACUGGCUCGAUACUGACGCUGAGGUGCGAAAGCGUGGGGAGCAUACAGGAUUAGAAACCCCGGUAGUCC